GAUGAACGCUGGCGGCGUGCCUAAUACAUGCAAGUCGAACGCAUAGCGAAAGGUGCUUGCACCUUUCAAGUGAGUGGCGAACGGGUGAGUAACACGUGGACAACCUGCCUCAAGGCUGGGGAUAACAUUUGGAAACAGAUGCUAAUACCGAAUAAAACUUAGUGUCGCAUGACACAAAGUUAAAAGGCGCUUCGGCGUCACCUAGAGAUGGAUCCGCGGUGCAUUAGUUAGUUGGUGGGGUAAAGGCCUACCAAGACAAUGAUGCAUAGCCGAGUUGAGGGCGUGAAGGGCCACUGAGAGGGUGAGACACGACAUAGCCACCGAGAGACGGCUGCGACUCGGAAGCUUGGAAACAGGGGGGAAGCUUGAAGAAUGGACGGAAGCUGGAUGAAGAAACGUUGCGGGUGGUAAAACGCUGUUGUAUGGGAAGAACGGGUAGAACAGGAAAUAAUUUUAGUUUACGGGAACCAUACCAGAAGGAGAGGCUAAAAUCCGU
rnacentral:rRNA from 1 species